rnacentral:rRNA from 1 species
UACAGAGGUCCCAAGCGUUACUGAGAAUCACUGGUUUAAAGGUGCGUAGGUGGUCCGUUAAGUCAGUUGUGAAAUCCCCGGGCUCAACCCGGGAAAUGCUUCUGAUACUGGCGGACUUGAGGCCAGUAGGGGUCACUAGAACUGACGGUGGAGCGGUGAAAUGCGUAGAUAUCGUCAGGAAUGCCGGUGGUGAAGACGGGUGACUGGGCUGGUUCUGACACUGAGGCACGAAAGCGUGGGGAGCGAACGGG